GACGAACGCUGGCGGCGUGCUUAACACAUGCAAGUCGAACGGUGAAGCUCCAGCUUGCUGGAGUGGAUCAGUGGCGAACGGGUGAGUAACACGUGAGCAACCUGCCCCUGACUCUGGAAUAAGCGCUGGAAACGGCGUCUAAUACUGGAUACGAGAAGGGUCCGCAUGGGCACUUUCUGGCAAGUUUUUCGGUUGGGGAUGGGCUCGCGGCCUAUCAGCUUGUUGGUGAGGUAAUGGCUCACCAAGGCGACGACGGGUAGCCGGCCUGAGAGGGCGACCGGCCACACUGGGACUGAGACACGGCCCAGACUCCUACGGGAGGCAGCAGUGGGGAAUAUUGCACAAUGGGCGAAAGCCUGAUGCAGCGACGCCGCGUGAGGGAUGACGGCCUUCGGGUUGUAAACCUCUUUCAGCAGGGAAGAAGCGAAAGUGACGGUACCUGCAGAAGAAGCACCGGCUAACUACGUG
rnacentral:rRNA from 1 species